UACGAAGGGUGCUAGCGUUGCUCGGAAUCACUGGGCGUAAAGCGCACGUAGGCGGCUUGUUAAGUCAGGGGUGAAAUCCUGGAGCUCAACUCCAGAACUGCCUUUGAUACUGGCGAGCUUGAGUUCGGGAGAGGUGAGUGGAACUGCGAGUGUAGAGGUGAAAUUCGUAGAUAUUCGCAAGAACACCAGUGGCGAAGGCGGCUCACUGGCCCGAUACUGACGCUGAGGUGCGAAAGCAUGGGGAGCAAACAGG
rnacentral:rRNA from 1 species